GCCGUUGUAGUAUAGUGGCAGUACAUCGCGUUGUGGCCGCGCCGACGCAGGUUCGAUUCCUGCCAACGGCA